CGAACGGGUGAGUAACACGUUGGUGACCUACCCCAGAGAGGGGAAUAACUAUUGGAAACGAUAGCUAAUACCCCAGAUGUCAUUGUUGUUAGAGUGCAAUGACUAAAAGCUCCGGCGCUCUGGGAGGGGCCUGCGGCCCAUCAGCUAGUUGGUAAGGUAACGGCUUACCAAGGCAAAGACGGGUAGGGGGCGUGAGAGCGUGACCCCCCACACUGGUACUGACACACGGACCAGAUACCUACGGGUAGCAGCAGCAAGGAAUAUUGCCCAAUGGACGAAAGUCUGAGGCAGCAACGCCGCGUGGAGGAUGAAGGCCUUCGGGUUGUAAACUCCUUUUCUGGGGGAAGAGAAAGGACGGUACCCCAGGAAUAAGUCUCGGCUAACUACGUGCCAGCAGCCGCGGUAAAACGUAGGAGGCGAGCGUUAUCCGGAUUUACUGGGCGUAAAGCGCGUGCAGGCGGUUUUCUAAGUCGGACGUGAAAGCUCUCGGCUCAACUGGGAGAGGUCGUUCGAAACUAGGAAACUUGAGGGUGGUAGAGGAGAGUGGAAUUCCCGGUGUAGUGGUGAAAUGCGUAGAUAUCGGGAGGAACACCAGUGGCGAAGGCGGCUCUCUGGGCCAUUCCUGACGCUAAGACGCGAAAGCUAGGGGAGAGAACGGGAUUAGAAACUCCGGUAUUCCUAGCUGUAAACGAUGUCAACUAGUGUAGGGGGUAUCCAACCCCCCUGUGCUGUAGCUAACGCGUUAAGUUGACCGCCUGGGGACUACGGCCGCAAGGCUAAAACUCAAAGGAAUUGACGGGG
rnacentral:rRNA from 1 species